rnacentral:rRNA from 1 species
GAUGAACGCUGGCGGCGUGCCUAAUACAUGCCAGUCGAGCGAACGGACGAGAAGCUUGCUUCUCUGAUGUUAGCGGCGGACGGGUGAGUAACACGUGGAUAACCUACCUAUAAGACUGGGAUAACUUCGGGAAACCGUAGCUAAUACCGGAUAAUAUUUUGAACCGCAUGGUUCAAAAGUGAAAGACGGUCUUGCUGUCACUUAUAGAUGGAUCCGCGCUGCAUUAGCUAGUUGGUAAGGUAACGGCUUACCAAGGCAACGAUGCAUAGCCGACCUGAGAGGGUGAUCGGCCACACUGGAACUGAGACACGGUCCAGACUCCUACGGGAGGCAGCAGUAGGGAAUCUUCCGCAAUGGGCGAAAGCCUGACGGAGCAACGCCGCGUGAGUGAUGAAGGUCUUCGGAUCGUAAAACUCUGUUAUUAGGGAAGAACAUAUGUGUAAGUAACUGUGCACAUCUUGACGGUUCCUAAUCAGAAAGCCACGGCUAACUACGUG